UUUUUUUUUUUUUUUUCCAAGCAAAUGCAGGAAAUUAUGGAGAAGUGCAGAUAUUAAUUAUAGACUUUCUCUUUAGCCUUUAAGCCUCCGAAUAAAAUAAUUUCCCAACAACUUUGGUAACUUGACGGAGUGGAUUUUGAAAUUGAGGUAAUGAUUAUAGUAAUUAGCCCACACAAUGACUAAUAAUAAAAGAAAUUCAAUUUCUUCCAUCAUAGAAUAUUUAAUUUCGAAUCAAAUAAGUGGUUAUGAGUCCCUCGGGAUCUAUUUAGGGUGCGUUCUUCAAUGUCCUUUUCCAUUUAUAUAUUUAUGGUUG
rnacentral:misc_RNA from 1 species